GUCCAGACUCCUACGGGAGGCAGCAGUGGGGAAUAUUGCACAAUGGGGGAAACCCUGAUGCAGCGACGCCGCGUGAAGGAAGAAGUAUUUCGGUAUGUAAACUUCUAUCAGCAGGGAAGAAAAUGACGGUACCUGACUAAGAAGCCCCGGCUAACUACGUGCCAGCAGCCGCGGUAAUACGUAGGGGGCAAGCGUUAUCCGGAUUUACUGGGUGUAAAGGGGGCGCAGACGGCAGCGCAAGCCAGGAGUGAAAGCCCGGGGCCCAACCCCGGGACUGCUCUUGGAACUGCGCGGCUGGAGUGCAGGAGGGGCAGGCGGAAUUCCUGGUGUAGCGGUGAAAUGCGUAGAUAUCAGGAGGAACACCGGUGGCGAAGGCGGCCUGCUGGACUGCAACUGACGUUGAGGCCCGAAAGCGUGGGGAGCAAACAGGAUUAGAUACCCUAGUAUGA
rnacentral:rRNA from 1 species